GACGAACGCUGGCGGCGUGCUUAACACAUGCAAGUCGAGCGGUAAGGCCCUUCGGGGUACACGAGCGGCGAACGGGUGAGUAACACGUGGGUGACCUGCCCUUAGCUCUGGGAUAAGCCUGGGAAACUGGGUCUAAUACCGGAUAUGACCUCAUGACGCAUGUUGUGGGGUGGAAAGCCUUGUGCGGCUAGGGAUGGGCCCGCGGCCUAUCAGCUUGUUGGUGGGGUGAUGGCCACCAAGGCGACGACGGGUAGCCGGCCUGAGAGGGCGCACGGACACACUGGGACUGAGACACGGCCCAGACUCCUACGGGAGGCAGCAGUGGGGAAUCUUGCGCAAUGGGCGAAAGCCUGACGCAGCGACGCCGCGCGGGGAUGAAGGCC
rnacentral:rRNA from 1 species